rnacentral:rRNA from 1 species
CACCCGAAGUCGGUGGGGUAACCGCAAGGAGCCAGCCGCCGAAGGUGGGGUAGAUGAUUGGGGUGAAGUCGUAACAAGGUAGCCGUAUCGGAAGGUGCGGCUGGAUCACCUCCUUU